rnacentral:lncRNA from 1 species
CUGAGCUGUGAUUGGUCAAUUGGAGAUAAACGAGGAGGGGGCGGGGCCAGGUCAGUCCCGCGCCUCCGCUCCCGGAAGAAAUUUCCGCCGGAAGUCCCGUUCUCUGGGGAGCGGGAACCCUGGCGACCCGUGUCAUGGGAGCGGGUUUCUGUUACGUGGGCUUUAGCGCGAGCUGGGCGGUCGGCCCGGUCCCACCGAACUGCAUAGGGCCGUGUAGCCGGGGGAAGUCAGCCCCCUGCUCUGAGAAGCAGACUCUGCAUCUGUAAAAGGCUAAGCGUGCCCACUGGGGCCUGUGGUCAGGAUUGGCUGCAGUGAGGUCCGCAAAGCCCCUACCGCAUCCUGCGCCUUCGUUAGGGUGAGCAGUCAUGGGGACUCGCAUUGUGCCACCACGUAGCGGGUCUCACUGGGUCCGCUUGUCUGCUCGAGGAGACAGCCGGUGAGGACGGGAGCUGGCCUGCUUUGCCCAGGCUGUAACCUCAGCCUCCGCCCAUACCCACAGAGAAAAAGUAGUCAUAAUACAAAAGAAAAAUGGACAAUGCUUGGAUACCAUAAUAAAAAUUAACACUACCAACAAGGAGCAUGGACAUUGUGUGGCUUCAGAUGUAAUGUGAAGGACAACCUCCGUUGAAAAGGGCAACUGCUGUAGUAUUCUAAUCUGGAAUGCAUCACCUAAUCCUAUCAUAAGAAGACAUUAGGAAAAAAAAAAUAAAGAUAAUUCCAUUUUUUUAAUGGUUUUUGGUGUUUUGUUUGUUUGUUUGUGACAGAGUCUCGCUGUGUUGCCCAGGCUGGAGUGUAGUGAUGCGAUCUCAGCUCACUGCACCCUCCACCUCCUGGGUUCAAGCGAUGCUGCUGCCUCAGCCUCCCAAGUAGCUGGGAUUACGGGCACACACCACCAAGCCCAGCUAAUUUUUGUAUUUUUAGUAGAGAUAGGGUUUCACCAUGUUGGCCAGGCUGGUCUUGAACUCCUGAUCUCAAGUGAUCUGCCUGCCUCAGCCUUCCAAAGUGCUGGGAUUACAGGCAUGAGCCACUGUGCCCAGCCUGUAACUUACUUUCAAAUGCUUCUGAAAAAAUUAUGUAUUGAUAGAUAGCAAAUAAUAAAGCAAUUGGGGCAAAACGUGCACAGUUUAAGUGGAUCUGAGAAAGGGAGUUGUAUUAGAUAGGGCUGCGGUAACAAAUUUCCACAGACUGGGCAGCUUGGACAACAGAAAUGUAUUGUCUCACAGUCCUGGAAGCAUCUUCAAUCCAAAAGAACCUGAGGGAUAAUUUUAGGUGAUAAACCCUGGCCAAUGUCUGGCUGUGUGGGCAAACAUGGAAUUCUAGUAGGGAAUACCUUAAUGUCUUUUGCACUGGCCUGCUCUCAACAGUGAAGCAGGCCGGGCACGGUGGCUCAUGCCUGUAAUCCCAGCACUUUGGGAGGCUGUGGCAGGAGGAUCACCUGAGGUCAGGAGUUCGAGACCAGCCUGGCCAACAUAGUGAAAUCCCAUCUCUACUAAAACUACAAUGAUUAGUCAGGCGUGGUAGUGGGCACCUGUAAUCUCAGCUACUUGGGAGGCUGAGGCAGGAGAAUUGCUUGAACCAGGGAGGCGGAGGUUGCAGUGAGCCAAGAUUGCG